UGGAGAUAAGGGUGUGCAGGCGGGGGAAGACGUGGGGCGAAUGUGUUGGCUGGAGUCACGGGGUGGAAAGGGUGCGUAGGCGGAUGGAUAAGUCAGCGGUGAAAUCUAACGGCUCAACAGUGAAACGUCCGAUGAUACUGUUCAUCUUGAGGUUGGGAGAGGUCGAUGGAAUUCCAGGUGUAGCGGUGAAAUGCGUAGAUAUCUGGAAGAACACCAGUGGCGAAGGCGGUCGACUGGCCCACAACUGACGCUGAGGCACGAAAGCGUGGGGAUCAAACAGGAUUAGAUACCCUUGUAGUC
rnacentral:rRNA from 1 species